GGAUUGUUAACUCAAUUGGUAGAGUACGUGGGUUUUAGCUCAUAGGGUUACGGGUUCAAAUCCCGUACAAUCCG
rfam:Carnobacterium maltaromaticum LMA28 complete genome